AUCAUACGUUUGUGCACUACAACUUCAUCAGGUAUGCACAUGUGAGAGGCACAGAAAGCAGCCUGUUCUUCCUUUGUGACAAUAUGGACAUUUCCAUUGUCAGGUAGUGUGGUAUUGUCACAUUUGACAGCAUUUUGAACCCUUGGGUAGUUGUUCAAAUCAGAACAGAACCGUAACACCUCUUCUUUCACUGUGUACUUGGAUGAGAAGUAAGGAAUUGAUCUAAACAGAAGAAACUUAGUAACUAUCUGUUUAGCCACUCCUUUUGUUCCUUUCACCAAAGUUAGGAGUUUGCCAUUUGCACUCUCAAAAGGAAAGGCAGAAUGUGCCCACAAUGGACCCCACAACUUGACUGACCUGGCAAGAUGACUGAGAAGGUGAAUGUUAAAUGUCAUCUGUGACUCGCCAUAUAAGAUCUGAAACCUGAAUAUGAAAUCCAGCAACAAGAUCUCGGCUCUGUUGAUUUCACAUGGUUUUAGUUCAUCCUUCAAUAGCAGCCAAAUGGCUGAUACAAGAAGGCCAAGAUGUUGCAAGUACUUUUUAGGAAGAAUUCCUUCAAGGCAUGGUAGGCUGUAGAACAGGAGCCAGGAUCGCCACUCAGAGGCUUUCCAGUGCAUCCUAUCUGACAACCCUCUAGGCAGUCGAGUAAUCAGGUGUGGAGGCUGGAUACCAACAACUCUAGCAUCUAUCUCUCUCAAAGUGGCAGGACUGCCUACAUAAUAUGGCUGGGUGGAUGAAGAAGUAUCAAAAAGGAGUCUUGUCAACUGUCUUGAAACCCCCAGUAAAACUGCAUGCAUGUAGUCUGGGACAAAACCCCAGACAACAUCGAAGUAUGGCAAGUUGAUUAAAGGAGAAGGACCUUUUGUGCCCCUAAUGCUUGUCCUCACUUCCAGAGCCAACUCCAUAUCCCUGACCAUGUCCUCAUUUGUUCUGUCACAGUAUUCUUCUGCUGAAACUGGAUAUUUAACUACUUUAUCAACCAGCUUCCCAGGAUGCAGACAGAAUCCACAGCCAUAAUAGCCAACUCCAUAUCCCUGACCAUGUCCUCAUUUGUUCUGUCACAGUAUUCUUCUGCUGAAACUGGAUAUUUAACUACUUUAUCAACCAGCUUCCCAGGAUGCAGACAGAAUCCACAUCCAUAAU
ensembl:lncRNA